rnacentral:rRNA from 1 species
CAGCCGCCGCGGGAAUACGUAGGUGGCAAGCGUUGUCCGGAAUUAUUGGGCGUAAAGGGCUCGCAGGCGGUUUCUUAAGUCUGAUGUGAAAGCCCCCGGCUCAAUCGGGGAGGGUCAUUGGAAACUGGGAAACUUGAGUGCAGAAGAGGAGAGUGGAAUUCCACGUGUAGCGGUGAAAUGCGUAGAGAUGUGGAGGAACACCAGUGGCGAAGGCGACUCUCUGGUCUGUAACUGACGCUGAGGAGCGAAAGCGUGGGGAGCGAACAGGAUUAGAUACCCCGGUAGUCCCUGUCUCUUAUAC